rnacentral:rRNA from 1 species
UGGCGACGACCGGGAUUAGCCAUCACCGAAUCCUGUAUCUUUGGUAUUUUUGGUUGUAUCUUUAAUUGGAUAAUGAGAAAUUCACUUGAUUGUGAUAUUGUCCAUAGAGGGUGUUAGACCCGUUGGGAUUUGUGAAACUUUUAUUGAUACUUCUAUAGAGUCGGAUUGUUUGAGAAUGCAGUCCAAAAUUGGUGGUAAACUCCAUCUAAGGCUAAAUACUUGUGUGAGUCCGGUAGCAAACAAGUACCGUGAGGGAAAGUUGAAAAGCACUUUGAAGAGAGAGUUAAAUAGUACGUGAAAUUGCUUAGAGGUAAACGAGUGGAGCUGAAGAUGUUAUAUGGGAUUCAGUUGAUUGUACUUUGAUAUUGAUUUGACAAAAUCCCAUCCAGGAUUUGUUAGGUAAAUUAAUUGAAUUGCACUCAAUGCACUUUCCAUGUAACAAAACUGCGACCGAUAGCGUUGUUUUUCUGUCGUAAUAUAGAAGGUGACCAUUUCUUCGGAAUUGGUUUUAUAGCUUAUUACAUGGUUAAACAAUUUAUCGGUUAAUACGAUUGGUUAACAUUGUUGAUAAACUAUAUCGAUUGGUUGAUGAUAGACUAUUAAUAGACUAUUAUUAAGUAGUUGGUGUAGAUUAUUUUCGAUAGAUCAAUUCUAAAGUCUGCAGUCUAUAUGUAAGUUACCUACUCGUCCCGUCUUGAAACACGGACCAAGGAGUUUUAUAUGAUCGCGAGUCAAAGGGCUUUACGAAACCCCAGGGCGAAAUUAAUGUAAAGGUUUACUUUGGUAAGCUGAGAUGUGACCUUUUUGACUUUAAAAAUCAAUGAGUGCAACAUCAACCCGUCUAAAGGUGUUCGCAUCUGGGCGGAGUAUGAGCGAUCAUGUAGAGACCCGAAAGAUGGUGAACUAUGCUUGUGCAGGUUGAAGUCAGGGGAAACUCUGAUGGAGGACCGAAGCGGUUCUGACGUGCAAAUCGAUCGUCGGACAUGAGUAUAGGGGCGAAAGACUAAUCGAACCAUCUAGUAGCUGGUUCCCUCCGAAGUUUCCCUCAGGAUAGCUGGCGUUUAUUGUCGUAGUUUCACCUGGUAAAGCGAAUGAUUAGAAGUAUUGGGGACGAAAUGUUCUCAACUUAUUCUCAAACUUUAAAUGGGUUCGAAGUGUAUCUCGCUUCAUUGGAGAUGCACAUUGAAUACGAAUGCCUAGUGGGCCAUUUUUGGUAAGCAGAACUGGCGAUGUGGGAUGAACCAAACAUUUGGUUAAGGUGCCUAACAUCACGCUCAUGAGAACCCACAAAAGGUGUUGGUUGAUAAAGACAGCAGGACGGUGGACAUGGAAGUCGUCAUCCGCUAAGGAGUGUGUAACAACUCACCUGCCGAAUCAACCAGCCCUGAAAAUGGAUGGCGCUGUAGCGUGAGACCUAUACCGAAUCGGUAUCGUAAGAACAUCAGGUUUGUUUCGAGAAAACGGUAUCGUGUAGGAGGGUGCCGU